UCGGUGCAGUCACCUGAGUCAUGUGAGCAUCUUAAAUCCAUCUGCUUGGCUCCUCCCCUGAUUCCAUAAUAUUAUCACUGUUUGUGACGCAGAGGAACGAUUAUCACUUUUGUCUCACCUGAAGCCUCUGGUGCUACCUGCUCAUCGUAUGCUGGAGGAGCCAGAUGACUGCUAACAUACAUUCUUCUUUUGUAGGCAAACAAGCCGGAGCCUGGCUGGACCUUGUUUCAAUAUUGAUUGAUCCGCCCAACAUUCCCUUUCCAUUGGUGGUGGUCACUGCUCCAUCUUGCAACUGGUGCGCUGAACUUCUCACCAUUUUACACAGCAACACCCCUAAAAGCGCCCCCCUCUUCUCCGUGGCCCAUUUUGCUUUUAUUAAAAUAGACAACGUUGUACAAGUCAAAUCUUACAAAAUAAUACCCCAUAUAUGUAUUUAUAUGUAUAUAUUAGCCUUUAACCAAUAUUUGUGUUUUGACAAAAACAACUUGUACGUUUCCUUCUCUUCUCCUGUGAUCAGCCAUUUCCCCCAGGACCCCUGAGUCCUGUUAGUAAUGAAUAAUAUAGGGACCAGAAUCUGCCUGGCAUGUGGCUCACACCUAUAAUCCCAGCACAAGGGAAGCCAAAGCAAGAGCACUGCCAUGAAUUCAAGGCCUACCUGGCCUAUACAGUCGGCGUCAGCCUGGGCUUCGGAGUGAAAAAACUAUGUCAAAGAACAAAAUAAACAGAUCUGAACCCUGGAUAUACUCGGCA
rnacentral:lncRNA from 1 species